rnacentral:lncRNA from 1 species
UUUUUUUUUUUUUUUUUUUUUUUUUUUUUUUUUGCUUUUUAGGGCCACAUCUGCGACAAAUGGAAGUUCCCAGGCUAGGGGUUGAUUUGGAGCUGCAACUAGUGGCCUAUGCCACAGCCACAGCCAUGCCAGAUCUGAGCUGCAUCUGCACCCUAUACCGCAGCUCAUGACAACACUAGACCCUUAACCCACUGAGCGAGACCAGGGAUCAAACUUGAGUCCUCAUGGGUACUAGUCGGAUUUGUUUCUGCUGAGCCACAACGGGAACUCUGUAAACAGCCUUUUGUAUGAAACCCAGAAGGGGAAAGUAACUUCAAAAAGAAAUGUAAUUCAUUUAAUGAGAUGAUUAUUUUUAUUAUAGUUUCAAACUUGUGGAUUAUUGUAAUUUAGUUGACUAAGAAUCUAAGCUAUCCAGGCUGAAAAAUUGAGAAAGAUGGCAAAAUUCCUCAUCAUUUAUCAAGCCUGAAACAUGGAAUAAGCAUAUCAUUAACAUACACAAAGAUAUAAUUAUUUUUUAAAUUAAGCAUCUCUAAGUGUACAGUUUAUAUUCAAAUUAUAGUGAUAGAAAAAAAGAGAUUACAGAUGGAUUUUUUUUUUAGUUGCUACUUUUCCAGGCCUCUUCUGUACAAAAAAGAGGGGAUCUCGUUCCAUUUUUUUGAGUCAUAAGUACGCAAAUACUCUCUGAAGUACUACUCUUAUAUUUAAAUUUGUAAUACCAGCUAGCCAAUGGCCUUGAACCUGAUCUGUACACAAAUAACCAGCAAAGCCUAAUUGUUCAAUUUUAGUCCCAAGAAACUGAAGCAUCUUCACUGAAUUUGAGUGUUCUAAUGUGAUUGUGCUGAGCCAUAUCUUUGUUCCUACAAACAAACAUCAUAAGAAAAAUAUUGUUUCUUUCAGUACAAAGCAUCAGGCGUUACAGCAAAAAGCUGCAAAUAACUUAAGCCAGCAUAUAAGACAUAGAUGGAUAAUGUUGCACAAAUGUGUUAAUUAAAUGGCUGCCUUUAUGUGCUCUCAAAGGGUUAAGUAUGUUGCAUGAUGGUAGCAGGUCAAGACUGGGGGGGAAACAUGUUUUCAAAAGACUCCUUGAGGUGAAAGUGGAUUCCUGGGAGGUACUAGGAUUAAGGUUUAGAGAGCAUUUUGAAAUAAGAAAUUGCAAGAUAAAGGUGAUAUUAAAUCAGCAAGAGGUCCAGGAAUGAGCAGAGGGAUGGAAAAGUGAAGUGGCGGCUGGCUGAGGUCACUGAGGUCUGGCAGUUUUAAUGCCUUGUGACACGUCCAGGCCUAAGGAAAGUCUGAUAAGAAGGAUCCCAUGAAAGAAGGGGCCACUGUAGUGCUCAUGGGGUGACAGAAACAGCAGCAGGUCCAUCUGGGGUCCCAUUGUCCGUGAGUCUGAACACAGGAGCCCUCCAGAUCUUUCCCCAGAAAUUCUUUGGUAGGAUAUGCACUUGUGACUUGGGGACAGGCUCUGAGGCUUUCAAGAGUCUCAAUCUGUGUAUUCCAGUGCAGCAGUCGCUUGCCACACGUGGCUACUGAACACUUGAAACCGAACAAAAUCUGAUUUGAGAUGUGCUACGAGUUUAAAACACAGGCUGGGAGUUCCCAUUGUGGCUCAGUGGGUUAAAGACCCGAAGUUAUCUCUAUGAGGAUUUGGCUUCAAUCCCUGGUCUUGCUCAGUGGGUUAGGGAUCUGGCAUUGCCGAAAGCGGCAGCAUAGGUGGCAGAUGCGGCUCGGAUCCAGCAUUGCUGUGGCUUUGGUAAAGGCUGGGAGCUGCAGCUCCAGUUCAACCCCCAGCCCGGGCACUUCCACACGCCACAGGUAUAGCCGUAAGACGAAAAAUAAACAAAUAAACAAACAAAAUGCACGCUGGAUUCUGAAAACCUCAUGUAAAAAAUGUAAAUUAUCUCCAUUACUUAUCUAUCCGUUACAUAGUAGUGAAUUGUUUAUAGUUUGGAUAAGUUGCAUUGAAUAAAAUAUGUUCCUAAAAUGAAUUUUACCUGUUUCUUUUUACAUCUUAGAUUAGGAGUAUUACAAAAUGUUCAACUUAGGCAGCUUCCAUGUUUCUGCUGUUUUGGCUCCUUUGAUUUGAGGUCACUGUGAUGCCAAAGGCACCAGAACCACAGAAUGUUCGACCUGGAGGGGAAUUUAAAGCUUAUCUAGGCCAGUGGUUUUCAAACUGUGUUAGGAUGAGCCGGAGGGAGGAGGGGUACAAUUCAAGGGUGGGGGGUUGGAGAGGAACCACGGAGCUGGGGGAGCUCAGAGCGCCCCCCCCCACUGUGAUGUAUGCAAAUGUAUUAUUACUGAAAUUCCAAAGUCAGAUUUCAUCCUAAGGAAAGCUUCUGGUUGUUUUCUUUGUUCUGUUUUUUGUGUUGUUGUUUUUAAAUCCUGGUCCAUCAUUUUAUCCAGAAGCCUAUCUGAGGAGCAGAGAAUGGUCUGUACCACGCUUGACCUCAGGACGUGACCUCAGCCCUCAUUUCCUGAGGACCAGAGAAUGCUUGAGGACCUGAGGACCAGCUUGACCUCAGGAUGUGACCUCAGCCCUCAUUUCCAAGCCGCCCUGGCAGUGGAGGAGGUGACCAGUGGUGGAUGGAGAAGCUCCCUACCUCAGCUGCAGGGAGCAGACCCCUUUCCAGGCUUGACUGACAGAUUCAAGGUGGCGUCUCUGACACCUUUCUUGCCAACUGUGUCUUGUUCACCAUCCCCUACCUAACACCUGGCACAAGAGCUGGCACGUAGUAUGAGCAACCGAGCAGAGCAAAGCCUGGGCGAUGAACAUCAUAUCACGUGUCAGCGCAUCUCCCUUCCUGUCCCGCAGUUACUGAAGAUACACCACAUUGAGCGCAUCUUCAUCUUCAAGGGCCUUCCUUUCCAAGAGUUUAAAACUACUCUGAAAGGGUGAUGAGGGUAUACUUAAUAAAUCUAGCACAGAAAGAUAAUCAUACCUUAAAAUCUAAGCUAUGAGUAUUGACAAAGAAGGAAAGCAAAUUCGACCCCUUAUAAUUUAUUGAGAGAAAAUGGAAAAAACUCAGAGGGGCUUCUGGCUUUGGGAAUCUAAUGUAGUCUAGAGGAGUUCCCACUGUGGUGCAGUGGAUUAAUGAUCAAGUUUGUCUCUCUGGAGGCACCAGUUCAAUCCCCAGCCCAGCGUGGUGGGUUAAAGAGGCAGCUGGCAUUGCUGCAGCUGUGGGGUAGGUCUCAGCUCUGGUUCGGAUUUGAUCCCCGGCCCUGGAACUUCCAUAUGCCGCAGGGGUGGCCAAAAAAGAAAACUAAAAUAAAUAAAGCAGUCUAGAGACUUGAACAAUAAAAAUAAACCUGAGAUA